rnacentral:rRNA from 1 species
AGGAAAGCAGGGGAUCGCAAGACCUUGCGCUUUUGGAGCGGCCGAUGUCUGAUUAGCUAGUUGGUGAGGUAAAGGCUUACCAAGGCUUCGAUCAGUAGCUGGUCUGAGAGGACGACCAGCCACACUGGGACUGAGACACGGCCCAGACUCCUACGGGAGGCAGCAGUGGGGAAUUUUGGACAAUGGGGGAAACCCUGAUCCAGCCAUGCCGCGUGAGUGAAGAAGGCCUUCGGGUUGUAAAGCUCUUUCAGCCGGAACGAAACGGUCACGGCUAAUACCCGUGAUCACUGACGGUACCGGAAGAAGAAGCACCGGCUAACUACGUGCCAGCAGCCGCGGUAAUACGUAGGGUGCGAGCGUUAAUCGGAAUUACUGGGCGUAAAGCGUGCGCAGGCGGUUUUGUAAGUCAGAUGUGAAAUCCCCGGGCUCAACCAUGGGAACUGCGUUUGAAACUACAAGGCU